UAUUUUGACUAUACGAAGGUAUUGAAAUAAGAUUUUAAUUGGGUGCUAAGAGAAUGGUUUAACGGAGAUUGACUUUCUUUUUAUUUAAAUUGGAAGUUGAUUUGAAAAUGAAAAAGUUUUUAUGAGUUUUUGGGACAAGAAGACCCUGUGAAUUUUUUCUUAAGAAAUUUUUUAUAGAUUAGUUAUAAGAAAUCGAAAGGAGAUUUUAAGUUGGUUGGGGUGAUUUUUAAAGAAUAUUUAUCUUUAAUUUUUGGUGGAAUUUGACCCAAAAGUUUUGACUUAAUGGAAAAAAUACUCCAGGGUUAACAGCGUUAUUAUUUUGGAUAGUUCAUAUAGAUAAAAUAGUUUGCGACCUCGAUGUUGGAUUAGGAUACUUUCGUGGCGCAGAAGUUACGUGAAGGAGUUUGCUCAACUCUUUAAAUCUU
rnacentral:rRNA from 1 species